UACGUAGGGGGCGAGCGUUGUCCGGAUUUAUUGGGCGUAAAGAGCGUGUAGGCGGUUCGGUAAGUCUGUCGUGAAAUCCUGAGGCUCAACCUUGGACGUGCGAUGGAUACUGCCGGGCUAGAGGAUGGUAGAGGCGAGUGGAAUUCCCGGUGUAGCGGUGAAAUGCGCAGAUAUCGGGAGGAACACCUGUGGCGAAAGCGGCUCACUGGACCAUUACUGACGCUGAUGCUCGAAAGCUAGGGGAGCAAACAGG
rnacentral:rRNA from 1 species